UCCAUCGGUGGCGUGGAGGUGGGGUCCUGGAGUGUAGGAGGUGUUUGGUUGAGCUGCAGGUUUGAUUCCCUCUCAAGAGAUGCUGGUCCUCUUCUUCCUCUCCGGUUCCGUUCGGAGAGUGUCGUUCUCUCGGAGUAUGCUGAUGCCGUUGUUGGCUCUUGGUGUCGCCGCCGAUAUGCGUUCAUCGACUUGAGAUCCCGCCCGGCGUCGGGUGGCUCAUGCGGCUUCAAAACCUUUAUGGCGGGGGUUCCUGUACCCCUGAGGCGGCCUGUGGGCAUGGCGUCUUCUCCAGCUUCGGUGAGCUCCGUCGAUGGCGACGUGGUCUGCGCGUGUUCAGGCGAUGAGUGUUUCGGUGGCCGGCUGUGCUUUUCUGUUGUAUUUUCUUUCUGUUCAGAGGGUGUCUGUGUAAUAUUGUGCUAUGAAUAGAGCAGCUCUUUGUCUCAAAAAAAGCACACGCACUCCUUCCUCCUCACGGCCUCAAAUGGGCGACGCUAGGGUUUCGCCCAGCCCCAGCCUCGGCCGCCGCUCGACCUCGGCGACCGCCGCUCCUUGGCUCCGCGGCCGCCGCUAGACAUCCACGGCCGUGCCUUGACCUCCUUGGCUCCUCUGCCGCCACUCGACCUCCUUAGAUCCUCGGUCGCCGCUCGACCUCCACCACCACGCUUCGCCAACACUUGCUUCCCCGUAUCCGGCCCUUCAUUGAUAUGGACUCGUGCUCCUCAGCCCUCAUGGUGUUGUGCUACACGCGUGCUCCGCGGCCCCUCCUCCACGGUGUCAUACAGAAAGGACGAGGGCGAGUCCUGGUUACUGACGUGUGUGGGUGUGGAUGUGGGAACACACCUAUCAUAUGCCCUAGCAGUGAAAGCCUGAACACAUGUCAUAUGUUGGAGUAGAUGCAAGUAUAUGGAUGAUGAAUGGGUGCUGCCUUAAAUCAUCAGCACAUUAGUGGUGCCCGAUCAAAGUCAAACGCUCGCCCUGGACAACCCCGUUCGCCAAAGUGGUUACGCCGAGCUGUAGUUGCUGGGCGCCCAUCUAGCCGCUCUGCUAGGUGUGGCGUCACUCCUGUCCCCGGCAACAUGUACUUCUCUACCAGACAAAUUAACUUAGAUUGGGUUGCUGCAAGAGUUUUUAUUGUUGAUUUCGAAUGUUUUUUAAGGAGAAAGGUUAGUAAA